UUAUACAGAUGAUUGUUUUCUCUAUAUAAAAGUUACAGCUGCAUUUCUAAAAACUUUCUGACUAUGACACGCAAUUAUAAAACUCGUAUGCUUAAUAUAUAUGAUCACAUUGUGGCAAUAAAUUACGUACCAUUCUGUAUUAAAUUCUUCAAAAGGGCUGAAAUAUAUAAUUAUAAUCAAAGAUAAGAAAACUAGUAGAAAUGCGAUCAGAAUUUUCUCAAAUUUAUUCUACCUACUCAAAUUUUACUAUACAUGGUAUUAAAAGGAAAGGAUAUGAAUAUAUGUAUUCCAUCAACAUCAAGACUUAAAUAUUUGGCAGGGAAAGGUGGAAAAUGAAUUUUAAUCGUUUUUAAUCCGGCAACUUCAGAGGCUGAUAUACCUCAACCAGUUUAAGAGCUGUGCUUGCUACAAAUAUCCAUUCAGGAAUUGUAAAUAAGCUUAUGCUUUGUUUCAAUGUAGGUGUUAUCAAAGCAUAACACACAUUUCGAGAAAUGUUGCCAAUUUACUGAAGAUCUACAACAAACACAAAGAAUAACUCAAACAGACUUGAUUUCAACACCAAAAUUGAAGAAUUUUCAAAAUUACCGCAAUCAUUAUUAAAAAGGGCAGUUUUAUGUGUAUGGACUAUCAAUAGUUAGAUUUUCUCGGACUGCACCAUGAUGCGGCACCAUCACCCUCAAUUUUCCUGUACUUAAGCUGUUUAUUAAUCUCGUUUACACAUACAUCACCUAUAUUUAAAAAGAAAUCAAUACAACGACUUUACUUGGCAGCGAAUCAAAUCACUAACAAUUUUCUUCUGUUCAUAUGAACACUGAAAACGUUUUGUAAUAUUUAUAAAUUUUACAAUAUUUGUACAAUAAAAAUGAUUUUAUAAUCACGAGAAAGGAGUUAGUAAGGAAUAUGAAAAACAAUAUGCAAUUAUUUUUAUAUGUGGCUUAGUGUUGUGUAGUUUUGUGGUUUUAGUUUGGGAACACCAAGGAUACACUAAGGAACCAUUAAUACAGAAGGUAAAGUGACAAGUACUGUAUACAGUGAAAUGCCGUGCCCAUCCCGAGGUUAUGCCUUUAUCUUUAAGACACACAGAACAGACAACAUGGUACGUAAUAAAGACUGUUUAAAGGUCAACACACAUCAUCUCAACUAUACAAAGGCUAUUUAUAUCAUUAGAAAUCCAUAUAAGGCUAUACUGGCAGAAUACAACAGACAACAUCAUCGGGAUGCAGAAACACAUGCAGGAGGAAAAUAUUUCGGUGCAACUUGGAAGACAUUCGUAUCUGAGAAAUCUAGAAAAUGGAAAACGAUGACGUUAUAUUGGCUGAAAGCGUUACAAAAACCUGUGUACCUCUUGGUUUAUGAAAACUUGCUGGCCUACAGAAUGAGAGAAGUAUAUUCAUUGGCACAAUUUUUAGAUGUCAACCUUGUACUGUGCCUCAAGCAAUUUUGUUGAAAGAAGAAAGCGAAAGCACGCACAAUGGCUGUCAUAAGUUAGUUUUCUUGAACUAUAUGAUAACAAUAUGAGGAAAGCUGUAAACAAAAUUAUUCUAUCAACGAUGAAAAUUGUAAAUUUAACGGCGUUGAAAAGCUAUAUUUUACCAGAAAUUCAAAGUUAAGCAGUCUCAAUUCAAUCAAUUUAUGUCUACAUACUAAUCAAUCGAUUUAAUAAUUUUGAUUGAAAAAAAAAUAGAAACAUGUAUUAAUUUUACUUCCUUAAUAUGCUGCAGUAAAAGUAUCGCAACUGAAUGAAUUUAGUGGAAUUUGCCUGACAAAUAAAUGAUUUAAGAUAUUACAUGAUUGGAUUGCGAUAAUUCAAAAACAUUGCAUCCGAAACUUUAACAUUUAAUUGAGAUAAUACAUAAUACAUACCAGUAUUUCAAAUAAUAAUAAUGUUUAAAUAGAGAAACAGAAUCAAUGAUAUUUGCUUUUUUAACAAUUUUUACAUGCACGAAAGAUGUGCAAUGUUGCAAAACAUGCGUCGUUCAGUACUGUAAUUUAUUGUCAAAGUUCGUAUACGAUGGUGAAGAACGGCGGAAAUAUAUACGUCAUUAAAGAAUUUAUAUAAGUGAGCCUGCAUUUAUAUAGGGAGAAAUAACUUUAUGCAGCUAAAUAUACAGAAUUACGAUAUGCUUAGACAUUGUGACUGCAUUACACUACAUGGUAUGUUUUCAAUAUAACGAAAUCUAGAAAACAAUAGGAGGCUGGGACAGUUACAAUUUCUUCCCUUCUUUUAAAAGUCAUACACUUACGAAACAGUAAAAGAUGAUGUGACAAUGCAACGAGCAUGACGCAAACAUACCUAUUUGAGGAAAAUAUCCGUUGGAUACUCGCCACAAGCAGUGAACAUGUUGCAAUUGAUUUGAUUCUAGUUCACUGGAUAGUUGCAGGAAGACUAACGAUCGCGGAUGAUUCACCAGAAGAACAUAAAAUAAUAUAAUCUGAUAAACUGGUCACUAAGGGCUUCAUGUAAUCAAGUUAUUAUGAAAUAUUAUCUGUAAGGUCAGAGCAUGAGUCUAAUUUGUUAAUUACAAACAUAUGUUUGUACUAUGAUUAAUGGGAAUUUUUUUUGUAUAUAUUGCAAUAUUCAGUGUGGGUGUUUUAUUUACUCAUAUACUCAAACGCAAAAGAAAGUGUGCACGCAGGUUUUCGUCAACUGAAUUAGAUUAUGUUGUCCGAUGUAGAUUAUUUUGUCUAAAAAUAGGCCUAUGUCAUGUUUGGUACCAAAAUUUAGUGUAGUCAGUUAUGGCCAAUUAGAUUUGUUUCGAUUAUUUUCAAAAUUUUGACAUUUAUGGGGAUUCUUGGCUAUUCAAAGCCAACAGGGGUCAAAAACGGAAGUCGUAAAUCUCUGUCUUGUCAGAUGAUAAAAAAGCUGCCUGUUCCUCAAACAUUAUUUUGUUUAAAUAUCGUGUGUCAAGCACUGAUAUGGCAACGCCUAGGCCUAACGUAACAGUAGAAUGACGCCACGUGGAAUUUUAUUCCAUUCUUGAGUAGCGGUUGUCAUCCGAGUUCUGCUGGAUCUAUGGCGUACAGUAACUCGACCAGUUUGCUGCUGAAAAUGCUGGUGCAAAAGAAUUAUGACAUUACUUUGGCACCCAAACUUUCUGCUGACGUAAGUAACGUUGUUGCCCCGUUGAAGCAUAGUAAAUGCUUCAUUUCGCUGAGUUUCAUCAAGUCGUGGCAUUUUAUAAUAGCACAGAUUUGAAAUGUAAUGUAUUGUUCCUUUCACCAAAGGUAUAAGAAAACUGACAAAACACGUUUUUGUAGACAUGUACAUUUCCUAUGGGCAGCACGUGCAAAUCGUGCAAAAGUCCACUAUCGAUAGUUAUCUUGACUCCACACAGUUUUUAUCGUAAAAUUGAAGGUCGAUCAAUAGUACAUGCUUCGAGGAAAGUAUGUUGCAAAUUGUAGACGGAUACCUCUUUUAGAACUGAGAAUAUUCAAAUUUAAAAAGUGCACACUUUCUUUUGCGUUUGACUACAUGUUUGAAUACACAUACGGUAUUUCGAAAAUAAGAUGUAUGCCUACUCUUUUGCUCUUAAAUCAAAUAUUAUGUAAAAGGAAAUUAAUAUGAAAAUGACAAUUUGAGCAAUAUUUUUAAGUAUGAUAACUCAGAUUUAAAAUCGAAGUUCAAUAUGUGGGAUUGGUAGUCGUUCAUGUAUAACUUACAAGUUCAAGGAAGAGACAUUGUUACCUUGAUGAAAUAGAUAUACGUAUCGUCACAUUGUUUCUUGAAUGGCAAUUAACUUUUCAACUGAAUUCAUAUUCUAUCAAAUUCAGAUUAUUCCUAGUGCCAUGAUAUAAACAUGUUCAGAAUGUGUAACUUUAAUUGAAAUUAACAGUCAAAAUGCAUUCAUAUUGUAUCUCUUAAUUUCAAACUAUACAAAAUACCAAGGCAUGCAAAAUUCGACUUACCUCAUAGGUCAUGUUGUAGUCUGUCUUUAUACAUAUUGUAAAAGAACAAUGUCCUGAAGAUUAGAACAAUUGGGCCUCCAAAGCAAAAAGCUCUAAACUUUGAAAGAAAUGGAGAAAUAACUUUGUACAUUUGCAGUAUUUUUAAGAUUCAAAAUGCCACACACACACACACACACACACACACACACACUCCAUUGGGAGUGACAUGGUUUUCUCAUAUGCAUUUCUGUUUAAAAGCUAUUUUUUUUUAUGAAAUAUCAAGUAAAUUCUUUCAGUAGUUUCAAACAGUAUUCAUAAAUAGUAUAUUUUUCAUAACAAUCUAGAAAGGAGGAUAUUCGUAAAUAAGUCAAUGUUACAGUUUGAUAUUUGUCUCUGUAUUUUUGUUCUGUAUUAUUUACUCUUUCCGUUGUGGGUCUACAUUGCAAAUACGUGGCUCUGAGGCUGUGUCGUUGGUGUUCUAUGCUUCUGAGAAAUCUACCCUUACCUUUUAGGAAAGAAAUAAGGACUAUUGCUUCAUGCCAAUACCCCCUACCUGUGUUUAUAUGUGAUGCAGUUUCUGAGUUUCCCAAUGCAAAUUUCAAAUUAUGAAGGGCAAGGAUUAAAAAAAUGGGCUAAGUAGAGUUAUGACACUUAGUCACUGGAAUUUUUCUCAAUAACCCCAAAAUGUGAGGGUCAAGUCAUGUUUUCACAUGCAAUUUUAAGGUUACAAAACAUAAUAAUGUGUGUUUUAUGCUCUGUGGAGGAGAUUGAUAAAUAAAGAGUUUAGAGACA
rnacentral:misc_RNA from 1 species